AGAGUUUGAUCAUGGCUCAGAGCGAACGCUGGCGGCAGGCCUAACACAUGCAAGUCGAGCGCCGUAGCAAUACGGAGCGGCAGACGGGAGAGUAACACGUGGGAACGUGCCCUUCAGUUCGGAACAACCCAGGGAAACUUGGGCUAAUACCGGAUACGUCCGUAAGGAGAAAGAUUUAUCGCUGAAGGAUCGGCCCGCGUCUGAUUAGCUAGUUGGUGGGGUAAUGGCCCACCAAGGCGACGAUCAGUAGCUGGUCUGAGAGGAUGAUCAGCCUCACUGGGACUGAGACACGGCCCGGACUCCUACGGGAGGCAGCAGUGGGGAAUAUUGGACAAUGGGCGCAAGCCUGAUCCAGCCAUGCCGCGUGGGUGAUGAAGGCCCUAGGGUUGUAAAGCCCUUUCGGCGGGGAAGAUAAUGACGGUACCCGCAGAAGAAGCCCCGGCUAACUUCGUGCCAGCAGCCGCGGUAAUACGAAGGGGGCUAGCGUUGCUCGGAAUCACUGGGCGUAAAGCGCACGUAGGCGGCUUUUUAAGUCAGGGGUGAAAUCCUGGAGCUCAACUCCAGAACUGCCUUUGAUACUGAGAAGCUUGAGUCCGGGAGAGGUGAGUGGAACUGCGAGUGUAGAGGUGAAAUUCGUAGAUAUUCGCAAGAACACCAGUGGCGAAGGCGGCUCACUGGCCCGGUACUGACGCUGAGGUGCGAAAGCGUGGGGAGCAAACAGGAUUAGAUACCCUGAUAGUCCACGCCGUAAACGAUGGAUGCUAGCCGUUGUCGGGUUUACUCGUCAGUGGCGCAGCUAACGCAUUAAGCAUCCCGCCUGGGGAGUACGGUCGCAAGAUUAAACUCAAAGGAAUUGACGGGGGUCCCGCACAAGCGUUGAGCAUGUGGUUCAUUCGAAGCAACGCGAGACCUUACCAGCCUUUGACAUUCCCGGUCGCGGGCACCAAAGAUGGAGCCCUUCAGUUCG
rnacentral:rRNA from 1 species